rnacentral:rRNA from 1 species
AUUGAACGCUGGCGGCAGGCCUAACACAUGCAAGUCGAGCGGAUGAGGGUAGCUUGCUACCUGAUUCAGCGGCGGACGGGUGAGUAAUGCCUAGGAAUCUGCCUGGUAGUGGGGGACAACGUUUCGAAAGGAACGCUAAUACCGCAUACGUCCUACGGGAGAAAGUGGGGGAUCUUCGGACCUCACGCUAUCAGAUGAGCCUAGGUCGGAUUAGCUAGUUGGUGGGGUAAAGGCUCACCAAGGCGACGAUCCGUAACUGGUCUGAGAGGAUGAUCAGUCACACUGGAACUGAGACACGGUCCAGACUCCUACGGGAGGCAGCAGUGGGGAAUAUUGGACAAUGGGCGCAAGCCUGAUCCAGCCAUGCCGCGUGUGUGAAGAAGGUCUUCGGAUUGUAAAGCACUUUAAGUUGGGAGGAAGGGCAGUAAGUAAUACCUUGCUGUUUUGACGUUACCGACAGAAUAAGCACCGGCUAACUCUGUGCCAGCACG